rnacentral:rRNA from 1 species
AUUGAACGCUGGCGGCAGGCUUAACACAUGCAAGUCGAGCGAGCGGCGGACGGGUGAGUAAUGUCUGGGAAACUGCCUGAUGGAGGGGGAUAACUACUGGAAACGGUAGCUAAUACCGCAUACCAUCAGAUGUGCCCAGAUGGGAGUAGCUAGUAGGUGGGGUAAUGGCUCACCUAGGCGACGAUCCCUAGCUGGUCUGAGAGGGUGACCGGCCACACUGGAACUGAGACACGGUCCAGACUCCGACGGGAGGCAGCAGUGGGGAAUAUUGGACAAUGGGUGCAAGCCUGAUGGAGCAACGCCGCGUGUGUGAAGAAGGUCUUCGGGUUGUAAAGCACUUUCAGCGAGGAGGCGUUAUCCGCAGAAGAAGCACCGGCUAACUACGUGCCAGCAGCCGCGGUAAUAC